rnacentral:rRNA from 1 species
UGAAUACGAGACGCUAAGGCGUCGAAGUAGUGUAUGUCAUACUUCCAAGAAAAGCUUGCACUGUCAUAAGUAAAAAAUGCCUGUACCAUAACCGACACAGGUGGCUAGGUAGAGUAUACUAAGGGGCGCGAGAUAACUCUCUCUAAGGAACUCGGCAAAAUAACUCCGUAACUUCGGGAGAAGGAGUACCUUAUUCUAUAAGGUUGCAAUAACAAGAUCCAAGCAACUGUUUAUCAAAAACACAGGUCUCCGCUAAGUCGUAAGACGAUGUAUGGGGGCUGACGCCUGCCCAGUGCCAGAAGGUUAAAGAAGUCGGUUAGCAUUAGCGAAGCUGGUAACUGAAGCCCUGGUGAACGGCGGCCGUAACAAUAACGGUCCUAAGGUAGCGAAAUUCCUUGUCGGGUAAGUUCCGACCCGCACGAAAGGCGUAAUGAUUUGGAUACUGUCUCGGAGAGGGGCUCGGUGAAAUAGACUUGUCUGUGAAGAUGCGGACUACCUGCACCAGGACAGAAAGACCCUAUGAAGCUUUACUGUAACUUGAAAUUGAAAUUGGACUUUAUUCGCGCAGUAUAGGUGGGAGGUGUUGAUUAUAAUCUUGCGGGAUUAUUGGAGCCAUCAGUGAGAUACCACUCUUGUAAUGUUAGAUUUCUAACUUUGAAUCAUUAUCUGGUCAAAGGACAGUUUCAGGCGGGCAGUUUGACUGGGGCGGUCGCCUCCCAAACGGUAACGGAGGCGUACAAAGGUUUCCUCUGAACGGGUAGAAAUCGUAUCUAGAGUGUAAAGGCAUAAGGAAGCUUGACUGUGAGACCUACAAGUCGAACAGGGACGAAAGUCGGUCUUAGUGAUCUGACGGUACUGAGUGGAAAGGCCGUCACUCAACGGAUAAAAGUUACUCUAGGAUAACAGGCUGAUCUCCCCCAAGAGUUCACAUCGACGGGGAGGUUUGGCACCUCGAUGUCGGCUCAUCGCAUCCUGGGGCGGUAGUACGUCCCAAGGGUUGGGCUGUUCGCCCAUGAAAGCGGUACGCGAGCUGGGUUCAGAACGUCGUGAGACAGUUCGGUCCAUAUCCGGUGUAGGCGUUAGAAUAUUGAGAGGAGCCUUCUUUAGUACGAGAGGACCGAGAAGGACAUACCUCUGGUGUACCAGUUAUCGUGCCAACGGUAAACGCUGGGUAGCUAUGUAUGGAGUGGAUAACCGCUGAAAGCAUCUAAGUGGGAAGCCCACCUCAAGAUAAGUAUUCU